rnacentral:lncRNA from 1 species
GCUCUUCCGGAGGUUCAGUCCCCACAUGGCGGUUCAUGACAGUCUGCAGCUCCAGGUCUAGGAGAUCCGAUGUCUUCUUUUCACCCCCAGCUUCCUGCAUCACUUGGUACACACAAAUUCAUACAUACUCCAUAAUUUUUAAAAAAUUAAACUCUUAAAAAUCAUAAAGACAGUGGUUAAGGAAAGAUACUCAGCAUCUUCAGAUGAAUUCUUUCCACACACAUUAACACAUUACACACUUACAGCAGAUAGAGCACACACACGUUAACACAUUACACACUUACAGCAGAUAGAACACACACGUUAACACAUUACACACUUACAGCAGAUAGAACACACACUAAAACAUUACAUACUUACAGUAGAUAGAGCACACACUAACACAUUACACACUUACAGUAUACCAUACACAUUAACCCAUUAUACACUUACAGCAGAUAGAGCACACACUAACACAUUAUACAUUUACAGUAGAGCACACAUACAUUAACACAUUACACACUUACAGUAGAUAGAGCACACACACAUUACACACAGCAGAUAGAACACACACUAAAACAUUACACACUUACAGUAGAGCAUACACAUUAACACAUUACACACUUACAGUAGAGCAUAUACAUUACACACUUACAGUAGAUAGAGCACACACUAACACAUUAUACAUUUACAGUAGAGCACACAUACAUUAACACAUUACACACUUACAGUAGAUAGAGCACACACACAUUAACACAUUACACACUUACAGCAGAUAGAGCACACACACAUUAACACAUUACACACUUACAGUAGAUACAGCACACAAUCUAAACUAUAGCAGACCACAGGCCUGGAGUCCUAGGACUCAGAAAGUCACAGGUUGAAGCUUGUGUGCACUCUACAACAAGGCCUUGUCUAAAAAAAAAAUGUGUGUUUGUGGCGUGGGCUGGGGUAGGGGUGGUGGGGGAUCUGCCCUAACUCACACAAGGUAUCAG